CUUAAGUGCCACAAAUCUUAAGCUGAUAAGGGAGGCCUAAUGAGCUCCAGGGUUUGGCUGGAUCAACACUUGCCUGCAGCCCAUUCUCAGAGAUACUGCAGGUAGUGCCAGAGAUGGGUCCUGGGAUAAAGGUCCCCCCAGAAGAUCUAUGGUAUAUUUACAUGCAAGUGAGCUCCAAAUUAUAUUUCGGAAAAACAUGGGAGGGCUUCCAGUGGAGAAGGGCAUAAUGGUUUCUCCUGAUUGAGGCAAAGAGAAUUCCAGCAGAGCAGGCUGAGGGUGACGUGUAGUCACUGCUACACAGAAGCAGCAUCUCACAGGCCCCCAGCUCUCCUGUUUGGCCUUCACAAUACCCGAGUGCCUGCUCAUUUGGAUUUGGUUACAGCCUGAACUCCCGUGCACGAGCUCUUGGACAUCUCCCCGUUAGUUAGUUUUUUUAUUGUAGAAAGCCUAGUUAAUCCUUCCAUCCAACUUUCAUUUAGGCUACGGACCUUGAGCUUGGGAAAAGCAAGUUCCUAGAGAAGGAGAACUCCUGGCUGGUCUGUGCAGAUGUUUCUAGUAGGUCUUUUUGAGGUUUUGAAACAAUCCUGAAGACAGUGCUGGAGGCUGUAGGCACUGAACAGACAUGAGGAGACUGUUUCAAGAAACCUCCUACAGCUCUCCUACGGAAAACAGCAAAUAACCCAAACUAACUGACCUGGCUGGGUGCUGACGGUGGGCUGUAUACACAUGACCCCACUUGAUCUAAGGAGGAAAGCGCUGGUGUGACCCCCCAUUCACAGGCUCCGAGAAGUUGGGCGACUUGUCCACGGUCACCCAGACAGAGAACAUUGGAGACGGAACUCAAAUCCACGUCUGACUCCAGGGGCAGGGAGCUGCUCUGAGAGGCAGGAGGGGAGGCUGGAGCCAGCCAGGGUUCUCCUUGCAUGGGCGCCUGAGGAUGGGCAAGGCCAGUGAGCCCCGGCGCUCAGUGUUGGUCUCAUAGGUCAAAGACAGCCAAAUAUUAGCAACUGCACACGUUGUCACCUAAGAAAUGCUAUGGGGAAGGGGCUUUCCUCGGUUUCCUGCUGAAGUCCAGUAACUAGCACGGUGCCUGCCACAGAGGAGGUGCUCAAUAAACGCUCUUGCCUGAGUGGAGACAGGUGGCCAUUUCGGGGCUGGGACUGCCAACCCCGUGGGCUGUCAGCCCAGGAGGCAGAACGUAUUCUAGGGGAACCCUGCAGCCUCUGAGGGUUCUCUGGCUGCCCCGGGGGGCUCCCCUAUUCCUAUGUGAGCUGCCUCACAUACGUUCCUGGCACAGGAAGAUGGCAGUUCGUAACCCAGAUAAAUGCCUGGCUAAUGCGGGACUUUUGUGUGUCAGAGGAGUUCCAGAGAGAGUGUGAGGCCACCUUCCCCAGGGAGUGAGCAUGGGGCAAAGGGCUGGGAGGCAGGCUCCGGCAGGGCAGUGGACCCAGUUGGCCGUAUAUGCCCAAAGAUGACCAUUUGAUACACCAGUGUCUAAUGAAGGUUGCAGGUGAACGGAACUAAUGAGAAAAUAAUUAUCUAAGCCGGGAGGCCACCCAGGCUCUGGAGGUGGUGAUGUUGGUGCUAAUGGAAAUUGUGGCAAAGUGGAGGGGUGGCUGGAAGAAUUAGCCAUUCUUGUACUUUCCUGAACGGUUGAAUACUCUUCCCCCAGAGCCCCUCCUCUGGCUUUAGAAAAGGCCUUGGUCAGGGAGGGUGUCCGGGAGAGGACGGCAGGACGUGCUGCAGAGACCCAAGUAUCGUCCCUGAAACAGCAAGAGGGCUGCCAGCUGGGUGACCUGGAGGCCAUGGCUGCAGAGGUGGUGGCUGGGCUCCUUCCAAGUCCUUUUGCCCGGCUCCCUGCGCUCAGGUAAAAUCGCUGGAUUGUUUUUGAGAGAGGAAGGGACAUUCCACCAACAACAUCUGCCACUCAGGGCUGUCAAUAGCUCAGCCUUCUUGGUGGUCCCCAGCUAUUGUUUCUUGCAACCUGGCCAUCCAUUUUGAUCAAGCUGCAGGGGGAGAUAAGACUGAACUUGACAAGCUGUAGGCCCUUGCCUAGGAAUUCCACACCUAGUGCCCUGCUUCCUCUCCAUUUCCUGGAAGCAGGACAAUUUUGGGACCCAAGAACCAGCCCUAGUGUUGUUAGGGGUUGGGGGACCAACACAGAUGCAAACUCAGGUUGCUUCUAGAGGUCCCACACAUUUCUUGGGGACCUAAAUUGCAACUGAGUUUGUGCGGCGAAGGGAAAAUCCAUCUUCUUGUGGCUCACACAGCUCCAGCCUUGAGGUUGAGCCUUCGGUGGUCUACAGACUGCCCUUGUAAGGGCAGCAGAUAAGCUAACUUGAGUAAUUUAGCAUUUCCUUCUCACUGUGUGUGUGAGCUACAUAACCUUUAAAAAUACAGGCUCCCAGGCCCCACCUCAGACCUGCUGAUUCUGAAUCUCCAGGAGUGGGGUCCAGGUCUGUAUUGUUAUUAAAGCGCUCUCCUCCAAACCAGCCUCGGAGACACUGGCCUCAGGAUAAUUCCUAAAUGGAUUCUUCAUUCCAAAGGAUCCAGGAGAGAGAGAGUCGAGGUUGAGUGGUGAGAAACCAGCUUGAUUUGCAUGAGGGUGGGGGUGAGAGAGGUUGCCACUGCCUCGAGACCUGCUCUGUGAACAACUGGAGGCUGUAAUUAUACAUGCAAAGUGAAGCUAAAAUUUCAGAGAAGUAUCUGGAGAAUUCAAGUCAGAAGAAGCACGUUCAUCUGAAAUACCUAGAUAAUUAAAGAAAAAAUAUAUUCAUUGCAUAAAUUGCUCAUUAAUUCACUCCUCUGUGGGGGCACACAGUUUAAAAGCAGGCACUUUGAUUAAUCCAAGCUGUAUUAAAUCCUCAAGAUGCUUUUUUUUUUUUUCCUGUGUCUGGAUCUUCAUAUUUCCUUCCUCUAAAAAAAUCAUAAAUAAAGUUGUUCCUUUGCAAAAAUGCAUUUCAGAUUUGGCUUGGCAGAAUAAGCCCUAUAGUUGGUAGCAUGAAUUUGGGUGCGCUUUUCCUUUUUUAAGUACACAUUUUGAAAUCAGAUGCAUUCUUUCCAGUUCACUGGAAAUGCUAAUUUUUUUUCCAUCACAUUUCAAAGUUACAUUGUGUGUGGCUAAGCGAAUAACAGCUGGCACGAUAGCACUUCAGAAAAACUGAGGAGGGACACGAUCCCAAUCAGAGAGACAGCCAGAGAAAUGGUUAAUUUCAAAGGCAGGCCACUGAUUGGGGAGAAGAAUCUAUAGAAUUAUUUAUUCCCUUUAAAAAAACUCUGAAAAUUCAAACACCACUUGGAAAGAACAAGCGUCUGAUCCCAACAAGUUGAUUUUCCAGACCCUUCUAAUGAAAUCUCAGCACACCUCUACCCCACUCUUU
rnacentral:lncRNA from 1 species